UACGUAGGGUGCAAGCGUUGUCCGGAAUUAUUGGGCGUAAAGAGCUCGUAGGCGGUCUGUCACGUCGGGCGUGAAAAUCAGGGCUUAAUCCUGGACCUGCGUUCGAUACGGGCAGACUAGAGUUCGGUAGGGGGAGACUGGAAUUCCUGGUGUAGCGGUGAAAUGCGCAGAUAUCAGGAAGAACACCGGUGGCGAAGGCGGGUCUCUGGGCCGAUACUGACGCUGAGGAGCGAAAGCGUGGGGAGCGAACAGG
rnacentral:rRNA from 1 species